UACGGGAGGCAGCAGUGGGGAAUAUUGCACAAUGGGCGCAAGCCUGAUGCAGCCAUGCCGCGUGUAUGAAGAAGGCCUUCGGGUUGUAAAGUACUUUCAGUCGUGAGGAAGGUGUUAAGGUUAAUAACCUUAGCAAUUGACGUUAGCGACAGAAGAAGCACCGGCUAACUCCGUGCCAGCAGCCGCGGUAAUACGGAGGGUGCGAGCGUUAAUCGGAAUUACUGGGCGUAAAGGGCACGCAGGCGGUUAAUUAAGUUGGAUGUGAAAUCCCCGGGCUUAACCUGGGAAUGGCAUUCAAGACUGGUUAGCUAGAGUCUUGUAGAGGGGGUAGAAUUCCAUGUGUAGCGGUGAAAUGCGUAGAGAUGUGGAGGAAUACCGGGUGGCGAAGGCGGCCCCUGGGCAAAGACUGACGCUCAUGUGCGAAAGCGUGGGGAGCAAACAGGGAUUAGAUACC
rnacentral:rRNA from 1 species